rnacentral:rRNA from 1 species
UACGAAGGGUGCAAGCGUUAAUCGGAAUUACUGGGCGUAAAGCGUGCGUAGGCGGUUUCUUAAGUCCGUUGUGAAAGUCAAAGGCUCAACCUUUGAAUGCCGAUGGAUACUGCGAAGCUAGAGUACGGAAGAGGCGAGUGGAAUUCCUGGUGUAGCGGUGGAAUGCGCAGAUAUCAGGAGGAACACCAAUAGCGAAGGCAGCUCGCUGGGACGUUACUGACACUAAGGCGCGAAAGCGUGGGGAGCGAACAGG